CGGGGUGGAGUAAUGUCUGGGAAACUGCCUGAUGGAGGGGGGUAACUACUGGAAACGGUAGCUAAUACCGCAUAACGUCGCAAGACCAAAGUGGGGGACCUUCGGGCCUCAUGCCAUCGGAUGUGCCCAGAUGGGAUUAGCUAGUAGGUGGGGUAACGGCUCACCUAGGCGACGAUCCCUAGCUGGUCUGAGAGGAUGGCCAGCCACACUGGAACUGAGACACGGUCCAG
rnacentral:rRNA from 1 species